rfam:Burkholderiales bacterium RIFCSPHIGHO2_12_63_9 rifcsphigho2_12_sub10_scaffold_1296, whole genome shotgun sequence.
GCUGCGGGACGGCCCGCAGCUGCACAACCCCUACGCAGGACGGCCUGC